rnacentral:rRNA from 1 species
GACGAACGCUGGCGGCGUGCCUAAUACAUGCAAGUUGAGCGCUGAAGGUUGGUACUUGUACCAACUGGAUGAGCAGCGAACGGGUGAGUAACGCGUGGGGAAUCUGCCUUUGAGCGGGGGACAACAUUUGGAAACGAAUGCUAAUACCGCAUAAAAACUUUAAACACAAGUUUUAAGUUUGAAAGAUGCAAUUGCAUCACUCAAAGAUGAUCCCGCGUUGUAUUAGCUAGUUGGUGAGGUAAAGGCUCACCAAGGCGAUGAUACAUAGCCGACCUGAGAGGGUGAUCGGCCACAUUGGGACCGAGACACGGCCCAAACUCCUAAGGGAGGCAGCAGUAGGGAAUCUUUGGCAAUGGACGAAAGGCUGAACGAGCAACGCCGCGGGAGGGAAGAAGGGUUUCGGAUCGUAAAACUCUGUUGGUAGAGAAGAACGUUGGUGAGAGUGGAAAGCGCAUCAAGUGACGGUAACUACCCAGAAAGGGACGGCUAACUACGUG